rnacentral:rRNA from 1 species
UACGUAGGGGGCAAGCGUUGUCCGGAAUCAUUGGGCGUAAAGCGCGCGUAGGCGGCCAGAUAAGUCCGGUGUGAAAGUCACAGGCUCAACCUGUGAAUGCCGCUGGAAACUGUCUGGCUUGAGACCGGAAGAGGUUAGUGGAACUGCGAGUGUAGAGGUGAAAUUCGUAGAUAUUCGCAAGAACACCAGUGGCGAAGGCGGCUGACUGGUCCGGUUCUGACGCUGAGGCGCGAAAGCGUGGGGAGCAAACAGGG